AAUGGGCGAAAGCCUAAUCCAGCCAUGCCGCGUGGAGGAUUAAGGCCCUCUGGGUUGUAAACUCCUUUUAUCUGGGAAGAAACACCUCUAUUUAUAGAGACUUGACGGUACCAGAGGAAUAAGCACCGGCUAACUCCGUGCCAGCAGCCGCGGUAAUACGGAGGGUGCAAGCGUUAUNCGGAUUCACUGGGUUUAAAGGGUGCGUAGGUGGGCUAUUAAGUCAGUUGUGAAAGCCCCAGGCUCAACUUGAGAACUGCCAUUGAUACUGAUAGUCUUGAAUUUGGUAGAGGUAGUCGGAAUGUAACAUGUAGCGGUGAAAUGCUUAGAUAUGUUACAGAACACCGAUUGCGAAGGCAGCUUGCUAGGCCAAUAUUGACACUGAGGCACGAAAGCGUGGGUAGCGAA
rnacentral:rRNA from 1 species